rnacentral:rRNA from 1 species
CAGGACGAACGCUGGCGGCGUGCCUAACACAUGCAAGUCGAGCGAGGAGAUCCUUCGGGAUGAUCCUAGCGGCGGACGGGUGAGUAACACGUGGGCAACCUGCCUCAUAGAGAGGAAUAGCCUUCCGAAAGGGAGAUUAAUACCUCAUAACAUUGCAGUUUCGCAUGGAACAGCAAUUAAAGGAGUAAUCCGCCAUGAGAUGGGCCCGCGGCGCAUUAGCUAGUUGGUGAGGUAACGGCUCACCAAGGCGACGAUGCGUAGCCGACCUGAGAGGGUGAUCGGCCACAUUGGGACUGAGACACGGCCCAGACUCCUACGGGAGGGCAGCAGUGGGGAAUAUUGCACAAUGGGGGAAACCCUGAUGCCAGCAACGCCGCGUGAGUGAUGACGGCCUUCGGGUUGUAAAGCUCUGUCUUCAGGGACGAUAAUGACGGUACCUGAGGAGGAAGCCACGGCUAACUACGUGCCAGCCGCGGC